rnacentral:rRNA from 1 species
CGACAUCGAAAGCUUGCUUUUGAUGGGCGUCGACCGGCGCACGGGUGAGUAACGCGUAUCCAACCUGCCCACCACUUGGGGAUAACCUUGCGAAAGUAAGACUAAUACCCAAUGACGUCUCUAGAAGACAUCUGAAGGAGAUUAAAGAUUUAUCGGUGAUGGAUGGGGAUGCGUCUGAUUAGCUUGUUGGCGGGGUAACGGCCCACCAAGGCAACGAUCAGUAGGGGUUCUGAGAGGAAGGUCCCCCACAUUGGAACUGAGACACGGUCCAAACUCCUACGGGAGGCAGCAGUGAGGAAUAUUGGUCAAUGGGCGAGAGCCUGAACCAGCCAAGUAGCGUGCAGGAUGACGGCCCUAUGGGUUGUAAACUGCUUUUAUAAGGGAAUAAAGUGAGUCUCGUGAGACUUUUUGCAUGUACCUUAUGAAUAAGGACCGGCUAAUUCCGUGCCAGCAGCCGCGGUAAUACGGAAGGUCCGGGCGUUAUCCGGAUUUAUUGGGUUUAAAGGGAGCGUAGGCCGGAGAUUAAGCGUGUUGUGAAAUGUAGACGCUCAACGUCUGCACUGCAGCGCGAACUGGUUUCCUUGAGUACGCACAAAGUGGGCGGAAUUCGUGGUGUAGCGGUGAAAUGCUUAGAUAUCACGAAGAACUCCGAUUGCGAAGGCAGCUCACUGGAGCGCAACUGACGCUGAAGCUCGAAAGUGCGGGUAUCGAACAGGAUUAGAUACCCUGGUAGUCCGCACGGUAAACGAUGGAUGCCCGCUGUUGGUCUGAAUAGGUCAGCGGCC